GAUCCUUACUGGGGGGGUGUACGUCGACAAGAACAAGUUCCUGUGUCACGCAGACACAAUCCACUGGCAAGACAUUGUCAAAAACCCACGGACCCACCCCGUGGUGGUGCCCACCAACAGCAGCGUCACAUGUCAAAAGUGCCAUCGUUCCUGUAAUGGUCGUUGCUGGGGACCCAAGGAGGACCAGUGUCAGAGCUUAACAAAGACAGUGUGUGCAGAGCAGUGCGAUGGCCGUUGCUUCGGUCCCUAUGUUAGUGAUUGCUGCCAUCGUGAGUGUGCAGGUGGCUGCUAUGGACCGAAGGACACAGACUGCUUUGCCUGCAUCAACUUCAAUGACAGUGGGGCCUGUGUGACCCAGUGCCCCCAGCCAUUUGUCUACAACCCCACCACCUUCCAACUGGAACACAACACCAGGGCCAAAUACACCUAUGGAGCCUUCUGUGUCAAGAAGUGUCCACGUAAGUCUCACCACCUGGACACGAACAUAGUGUCCUGUUAUUUUGGUCAUGACCCUUUUAUUAUACCUUUAAAUAAAUAGCAUUCUAAUUCUUUCAAGGUCCACUUUGAAUCUUAAAAUCCAAAACUAACACUCACAUAUUGAACAAUAGAUAAAAUGUUUAUCCCAAAGUGCCUGAAAGUUUGAACCCGCUUUAAACCAAAGUUUCACCAUGACAUUUUUUUUCCUUAUGUACUCAAGUACACUGUUCAACAGACAUGCUCCUCUUACAACAUUCACUGCUCAAUAACUCAUUUGGGUCAUAGUAAGUAAAGAGAAAACUGAGGACAAGUUACUAAUAAUUAUGCUGUCCUGUCUAAAUUGAAAACAGUUGGUUAAUUUAAAUUAAAUCCAUUUCCCAUUCUUAAAGACACUAAAAACCGAAUGAUUUCUUAAUUAUCUGAGAGUUAUUAUGACUUACCUUUCAUUGAGGCAUUACAUUUAACAACAUUUACAAUAACUACACUGAAUCACACUAAUUAGUUCUGUCUUGAGGAUUAGACAAAAGCAGAUGAGCUGAUAUAUGAAGGAUGCUGUGAAGAAUUGAAGAUACAUAGCGUGCAGACAGAAAGGCAUUUGUAUCUGUCAUAAUUACAUAUUACACCACAAUUACAUGAAGCUUUUAGCAAAGGCCAUAACUAUGCAUACACACGGGCAAACUCCUGCUUGCAUUUUCAUAGGCUAUUUGUCAUGGACUUACACACACACACGAACACACACACAUAUGCAUACAGAAUGUACACAUUACCGCUCCCAGUGCUCUGCUUUAACGUGCAAAGUACUGUCGUGACCAAGAAAAACAAUUAGAUACUAAGGGAGCUUGAAUUGCAUUUACUGCUUUAGCUUCUCAUAACCCUCUCAUUACUACCUGUGGAUCAUUUUGCAGGGCAAAUAUUGCUACUAUAAACACAAUUUGUCUUUUGUUUCCCUAAGACAUUCAUGUUUGUGUGAGUGUGUAUGUCUGUAUUGCCUCCUCUGUGAGGACCUAUUUGAGUUUUGGAUUUUACCAAGUGAGGACACUGCUGCUGAUUUUUAAAAGGCUGUUUUAAGGUUUGGGUGGAUUUAGGUUGGUUGAAGCUGAGGUUAUAGGUUAUGGGUUUUUAAAAGGAUCAAGUUAGGGUGCAAGUUUGGUCCAGUCGUUGUUAGGAGCACUGUUUUUCAGAUGGAUGAAGUAAAAUGCACACUACUUCUCUCUUGUACAAACGUACAUACAGAGCCUGA